AAUGAACCAACAGUAUUUGGCUUCAUAUAGCAGAUGUCUGUCCAUGAUCUGAACCACAAGUCAUCUCAAACAACAAACUCUGACCCUUAAAGUGCUUGGAAUGUAUAAUAUGUAUACUAUCUUUAUUCUGAAUUUGGGGGUGGAUCCAAAAUUUCACAUGAAAUCAUAAUUUAUGAACGGACAAAGAAAUUCCCACUUCUGUCUUGUGGAUUAUAACAAUUGUUCUUUUGGAGGAUGGAUGGGGUCAUUUAGCACAGAAUUUCAAAUAAAUGGUAGAACAGUGAUGGAAAAACAUGCAUAAAAAGGUUCAUUUCAGUAUCUGUUUAGAGUCAUACACAAUAUAAGGACAUAUAGCAAACAAAGUGAAAAGAAAGCAAUCUCUUUAAGACUUCUUGUGAUAAGCCAUGUAAUUAGAACAAUGUUGGCAGACAUUAUGAGUCAAUGAAACAUUUUUUAUGUUUGUUCAGGUGAUUUUAAAUUUAAAGCUACAGUGUGUAUAAUGUAGUGUCAUCUAGUGGUGAAGUUUAAUGUCUUUUUAAUCAAAUGCUGAU